UUUCCGAACGAGCACAUAUACUAAAAUUGGAACGAUACAGAGAAGAUUAGCAUGGCCCCUGCGCAAGGGUGACACGCAAAUUCGUGAAGAUGGCAGCGUGCUA
ensembl:snRNA U6 U6 spliceosomal RNA